rnacentral:snRNA from 11 species
AGCUUUGUGCAGUGGCAAUAUCAUAGCCAAUGAGGUUUAUCCGAGGCGCGAUUAUUGCUAAUAGAAAUAGCAGUAAGCCGCAGUAAGGUGUUGCUACAUGUAUUAACAUUGCCAGAGCAUCUUGGCAUUGGCGAUGUGUGUUGAAAUACAUUUCACAAACAUUUCUGGAGGUGAAUUUAGGUUUUUUGAAAUACUGGCACAAUUUUA